UGCGUAGGCGGGUUUCUAAGUCAGAGGUGAAAGCCUGGAGCUCAACUCCAGAACUGCCUUUGAUACUGGAAGUCUUGAGUAUGGCAGAGGUGAGUGGAACUGCGAGUGUAGAGGUGAAAUUCGUAGAUAUUCGCAAGAACACCAGUGGCGAAGGCGGCUCACUGGGCCAUUACUGACGCUGAGGCACGAAAGGCGUGGGGAAGCAAAACA
rnacentral:rRNA from 1 species